UCAGAUUGUAGCUUAUAUAUUAAAGUUCAUUUUUUACGUUAAUGUGAAAAUGUUGUUCAUUCUAUCUGA
rnacentral:tRNA from 1 species